rnacentral:rRNA from 1 species
UACGGAGGGAGCUAGCGUUGUUCGGAAUUACUGGGCGUAAAGCGCACGUAGGCGGCUUUGUAAGUUAGAGGUGAAAGCCCCGGGGCUCAACCCCGGAAUUGCCUUUAAGACUGCAUCGUCUUGAAUCCAGGAGAGGUGAGUGGAAUUCCGAGUGUAGAGGUGAAAUUCGUAGAUAUUCGGAAGAACACCAGUGGCGAAGGCGGCUCACUGGACUGGUAUUGACGCUGAGGUGCGAAAGCGUGGGGAGCAAACAGG